GGAGAUUUAUGGUUACAAUUUGAGUCGCUGGAAGCUUGCCAUAGUUUCUUUAGGAGUGAUUUGCUCUGGUGGGUUUCUCCUCCUCCUCCUCUAUUGGAUGCCUGAGUGGCGGGUGAAAGCGACCUGUGUCAGAGCUGCAAUUAAAGACUGUGAAGUAGUGCUGCUGAGGACUACUGAUGAAUUCAAAAUGUGGUUUUGUGCAAAAAUUCGCGUUCUUUCUUUGGAAACUUACCCAGUUUCAAGUCCAAAAUCUAUGUCUAAUAAGCUUUCAAAUGGCCAUGCAGUUUGUUUAAUUGAGAAUCCCACUGAAGAAAAUAGGCACAGGAUCAGUAAAUAUUCACAGACUGAAUCACAACAGAUUCGUUAUUUCACCCACCAUAGUGUAAAAUAUUUCUGGAAUGAUACCAUUCACAAUUUUGAUUUCUUAAAGGGACUGGAUGAAGGUGUUUCUUGUACGUCAAUUUAUGAAAAGCAUAGUGCAGGACUGACAAAGGGGAUGCAUGCCUACAGAAAACUGCUUUAUGGAGUAAAUGAAAUUGCUGUAAAAGUGCCUUCUGUUUUUAAGCUUCUAAUUAAAGAGGUUCUCAACCCAUUUUACAUUUUCCAGCUGUUCAGUGUUAUACUGUGGAGCACUGAUGAAUACUAUUACUAUGCUCUAGCUAUUGUGGUUAUGUCCAUAGUAUCAAUCGUAAGCUCACUAUAUUCCAUUAGAAAGCAAUAUGUUAUGUUGCAUGACAUGGUGGCAACUCAUAGUACCGUAAGAGUUUCAGUUUGUAGAGU
rnacentral:lncRNA from 1 species